rnacentral:tRNA from 1 species
GAGGGCAUAGCUCAGUGGUAGAGCACAUGCUUAGCGUGAACGAGGAUCUGGGUUCAGUCCCCAGUACCUCCA